GACGAACGCUGGCGGCGUGCUUAACACAUGCAAGUCGAACGGAAAGGCCCUGCUUUUGUGGGGUUCUCGAGUGGCGAACGGGUGAGUAACACGUGAGUAACCUGCCCUUGACUUUGGGAUAACUUCAGGAAACUGGGGCUAAUACCGGCUAGGAGCUCCUGCUGCAUGGUGGGGGUUGGAAAGUUUCGGCGGUUGGGGAUGGACUCGCGGCUUAUCAGCUUGUUGGUGGGGUAGUGGCUUACCAAGGCUUUGACGGGUAGCCGGCCUGAGAGGGUGACCGGCCACAUUGGGACUGAGAUACGGCCCAGACUCCUACGGGAGGCAGCAGUGGGGAAUAUUGCACAAUGGGCGGAAGCCUGAUGCAGCAACGCCGCGUGCGGGAUGACGGCCUUCGGGUUGUAAACCGCUUUCGCCUGUGACGAAGCGUGAGUGACGGUAAUGGGUAAAGAAGCACCGGCUAACUACGUG
rnacentral:rRNA from 1 species